rnacentral:rRNA from 1 species
GAUGAACGCUGGCGGCGUGCCUAAUACAUGCAAGUCGAGCGAACAGACGAGGAGCUUGCUCCUCUGACGUUAGCGGCUGACGGGUGAGUAACACGUGGAUAACCUACCUAUAAGACUGGGAUAAUUUCGGGAAACCGGAGCUAAUACCGGAUAAUAUAUUGAACCGCAUGGUUCAAUAGUUAAAGACGGUUUUGCUGUCACUUAUAGAUGGAUCCGCGCCGCAUUAGCUAGUUGGUAAGGUAACGGCUUACCAAGGCAACGAUGCGUAGCCGACCUGAGAGGGUGAUCGGCCACACUGGAACUGAGACACGGUCCAGACUCCUACGGGAGGCAGCAGUAGGGAAUCUUCCGCAAUGGGCGAAAGCCUGACGGAGCAACGCCGCGUGAGUGAUGAAGGUCUUCGGAUCGUAAAACUCUGUUAUUAGGGAAGAACAAAUGUGUAAGUAACUAUGCACGUCUUGACGGUACCUAAUCAGAAAGCCACGGCUAACUACGUG